AAAAAAUAAUAAUAAUAAGUUUUUUUUUUUUAAACGUACGAGAAAAUUGUCGAUGGUAAAAUAAAAUAUAUAUAUACGCGCUCGCGAUUCGUCGCAAAGUCUCUCGCGAGAUCGCGUUAAAGAAAGGUUAAUAAUAUAUGUGUUUUCCGUUUUUUAUGUUUAGUCUGAAUUUUGUUAGAUUUUGUAUUUUUGUUUCCAGACUUUUUUUAAAUUUCAAUUUAAAUUAGAAUUUGCUGUGUGUUGUGUGCAACACGCCCUGUAGUUUAGUGGCCGACGGUGUAUGUUUGCCCAGCUGGUGCACGCAAAGUCUGUCAACUGUCUCUCACUACAAUCGUACCGAGUUGGUAGAAGUUUUAGUACAUGCAACUGCCAUUCUAGACAAUGGCGGCUUCGUUUAUGGAGAAACUUAUUAUUAGGCCGAGUGUUUUACUUGUGCAACUGGCUUAGGAUUUUACAAAACAAUGUCAGCGUAAUGUGCAACUCUGCAGGGAUGAUAUAAAGUGCGAAAACUAUCGCCUGCGAUGUUGUUAUAGUGUGUGUGUGUGUGUUAAUUCGAUAAAAAAAACGAAUACUCAAAAUCUCGCAUUCUCUACUUAUAGAAUUUUUUUAUCGUUUACUACUGUUAUUUUUUUGCGAGAAAACAGCACAAAGAACUACUCCAUGUUGCUGCAUCGCUGUACACUUAAAAGGUAAGCGAACAGUUAAUUGCCUAAACUAUAAAAGUGUAAAAUUCUUGGUAGAGAAAAUUAUUUUCGAACUACUCCCGCUGUGGUUGUCUGAGUUUCGGAGGUGUAAUUCUUAUUCUGGAUAACGUCCUGCAGAGAUACAGUUGCAGCACCGUGCACUACUCUCUCUCUGUAGCUGACUCAUUGCAUCGGUCAUUGAAAGAAUAGCUACUACUUGAAUCACUUUAUAAAACUGUUUAGGUCAUCAUCACUACUCUUUUUGUCUACACGAUAUAUAUAUAUAUAAUAGAAGAAAUAAAAGUUUGAAUAAUUAAUAGCGUGCGUAAAGUUUAGAUUGGUAACGGGAUAGAAACUGUUACACAAUUUUUGAAGCAUCUAAACAAUAACCAACAAUGGGUUUAGCAACUGUAGCUCUUGCUAAAUCGUUCAUUGACUUUUGAUAUUUUGUUUUUAUUUCUCAGAAGUGAUUUGUUAAAUUUAGAUGAUGGUGAAGUAGGGCUUGUCUCCUUUUUAUAUAAAGAUAUGAUAAUGGUCUAUAUGUUGCAACGUAAUUCAUCUAAAAGAAUAACAAACUGUUCUAAGCUUUGCACGUUAAUGAUAGAGUUAUUAAAAUAAAACUUCGUAAUUCUUUAAAACAAUGUUUUGAUAAUAGUUUCAAACAAUAGAUAAAAUUUUUCUUCUUCUCCAAACUUAAAAUUUUUGUUGUUCGUAGGUGUAAAAGUCGUAUUCUAAACAAUAACGUGUAUCCUCUGUCAGCUGUGGUGGUGUUACAGUAUUUGCUUUAUGUAUGCGCAUUCGCCAAACGACUAGAUUAUUAUUGGUAGGAGAGGCUAUCCGGUAUUAAAAUUCUUAGAACGAUUAAAAAGUUCAGAUUAAAUUUAAAAAAAAAAAAAACAAAAGUCAUUAACUAAACGAAUAAAAUCUUCAAAUAAUCAUCGGAUUCUAACUUCUCUAGUUACAAACGUCGGAGUCAACAUGUCGUGCCUGUUGGGGGCCUCUACGUGGCGUGCCCUUGAGACCAACUAUUCCCACGAUCUGUAGUGAAUUUGUGCUAGAAGUGACGUCACAUAGUGACCUCGGUUCAUUCAUAAAAUCCAUCGUAUGCCCGAGGCAGGACAGGUUGUGUAGUAAGCGAAUGAAAAACUGGUUUCAUUCACGGUUUCUUCCCAUUCAUAAUCGCCAUACUACGCUAUACUACUAGCUACCUCUUACUCUGGUGCCUACGACGCCCUGGGAAAGCUGGCCAAGUUUUUCACGUCAAACCCCACUUUCCGGACCGGUCCUCGAAGCCUGUUUCCUGGCCGUUGUCUUUUUUUUUUUUUUUUUUUAUUUAUUUUUUACUAAACCCCCUCGUAGCGUGUGGUUAUGCAAUUAUU
rnacentral:lncRNA from 1 species